AGCACAUGAGUUUUUGACAAAACCUUUACCAAAGAGUUUUUACUCUCUGGUAAUCGAUUACCAUAUUGUUGUAAUCGAUUACCAGUAGCAAAAUGAGUUUGAAAAAAUUUUCAAACUGAAUUUACAACGUUCCAAAUAUUUUCAAAAUGCUGUAAUCGAUUACAAUGUUUUGGUAAUCGAUUACCAGUGUCCUUGAACGUUGAAAUUCAAAUUAAAAUGUGAAAAGUCACAUUGUUUCACUCAAAAGCUUUGUGUAAUCGAUUACACUUAUUUGGUAAUCGAUUACCAGUGUUUGUUUCUGAAAAAUCUAAAGAUGUAACUCUUCAAAAAGGUUUUGACUUUUUCAAAUGGGUUUUAAGUUUUUCUAAAAGUUUUAACUCUUCUGAGUGGCCUUCUUGACUAGACAUGAAGAGUCUAUAAAAGCGAAGUUUUGUUUUGCAUUUUCAACCAAUCUUGAACAAUUAUUCAUACAAUCCUUUACAAGUCUUGAAUCUAUUUGAAUCUCUUUGAACUUCUUCUUCUUCUUUGUACCAAAAGCUUUCUGAAGUUUUCUGGUUUUCUAAACCUUGAAAACUUGUACUAUUCAUCUUUUCAUUCUCUUCUCCCUUUGCCAAAAAGAAUUCACCAAGGACUAACCGCCUGAAUUUUUUUUGUGUCUCUCUUCUCCCUUUUCCAAAAGAACAAAGGACUAACCGCUUGAAUUCUUUUGUGUCUCCCUUCUCCCUUGUCAAAGAAUUCAAAACGACACAGUCUGAGAAUUCUUUUGAUUCUUCCCAUUCCCUUAUACAAAAGUGUUCAAAGGACUAACCGCCUGAGAAUUUUUUUGUAUCCACAUUCACAAAGUAUCAAAGGUUUAACAGCCUGAGAUCUUUGUCUUAACACAUUGGAGGGUACAUCCUUUGCGG
rnacentral:lncRNA from 1 species